GCCGCCUCCAGCCCUCCACUCCAUUUCCAGCCUCCCUCCACUCAAAUUCGUCAGAUCCCGACGGUCCCGAGACUCCGGAGUCCCGACCAAAGACUCCCGACCCGUCGCCGGUGUCAUAUUCGGACUAGUGAGCAGUGAGUGGUAAAGGUGAAGAGCGUAACUUAUUUUUAUUAAUCGGUCAGUUAUUUGCUCAGCCCUUCUCAUCCUCACGAUCGGGGUAUGGCGAUUCGGUAAUUAUGCACUCCUAUCUUUUUUUCCUUGCGAGGAGAGGAUUCGGGCUCUUUACAAAAUCGAAUGGGGAGGGAGGACAAGAGGAAGGGGAUUAAUUUCUUCUUUGUCCUCUCUACAUUUGGAAACGAAAGAAGGGCAUCGCCGCUUCAACCCGCGAGCAAAGAGAGUCUGAUAGCUCAGACUGAAAAGGACAUGUUCAAGGCCUUGAAGGAGAUGAAGUCAGCAUUAAUCCAUCAAGUUUUUAUGGAAUUUGAUGUACGUGAUGUCAUAAAAACCAUCGCUGAAGAGACGUCAGAGUGCGUCCGGAAUUACUUGAGUGUUAUGUAUCUAACAAAGGUGUUUUUGUGGUCCGAACUUUUGCGUGCAUUUUGCAUAACUGAAGAGUGUGAACUUGAGCUGCUUAAGCAAGUCCAUAGACGAUCCAUCAAGGAGCAACGACUGCAAGGGCUGUUCAAGGAAGUUGUUGAUGUCCUAUAUGAAUUCGAUGUGCUUUCCCCCAGUACUAUUCAUCAAUGGUUCUAUCUCCACAUAAGCGCUGUUGACAGGGAAGAAGCUUUUGUGAAAGAUCUAAAGCCGGUAGUCGAUUCAAUGGAGAAAGAAAUGUUAGAAGCUGGAUUGACAAGGGCAUGAUCAGAAAAUGCUGAGUAAAGCGGAACGUAUUGUGUAUGUCAGAACUUAUCUUAUGCGUGUUGUGCCAGCUGUGUGGUUCAUGUAACGAGUAGAAUAACAUUCUUCCCUUACUCUUUGAGAACCUCUUGAGUGAAGACGCAACCGGAGGGAGAAUCUCAUGCUCGCGCGGUAUGAAAAGCACCGAGAGCGAUGAAGGAAGAGAGUGAACCGCAUUGAUUGUCAGAUUAUUGAAGCUAAGAUUUUGGGAGUCGUUUAUUAUUAAAGAAGUUGUGAGGGUUCUUUUUAUAAAAUUUGAUAUCAGAUUUUAUUUAACGAGAUUUAGCGUCAUGUCAUUAGCGUCA